GUCUAUCCAAUUUUAUGUCAAGUGGUGUUGCCCAUAGCAUGGGCCAGUCCAAUUUGGUAGUCUAACAGGUUAUCAUAUAAUAGAAAUCAACUAGAGUAUAUAUCGAUAGUAUUAAAGGGAUUAGUGAUGGUAGUGUCUGGUAGUGCACGGCUUGGACGAAGGUGUGGGCUGACGAACUAUACAUGGCCAUUACAUUAUAGGGGAUGACAAAAAUUGCAAGGGAGAAGGAACACUCUGUUGGGAUGUACUAAUCACAAGAGAGACAAAAAGGGGUAGAGAGUCAGAGAGAAGAAGAGAGACAGAGAGAGCGGAGGACAAAACUUUUCGACGACCCACUCAAAAUGCGAAGGAAGC
rnacentral:lncRNA from 1 species